rnacentral:pre_miRNA from 1 species
AAUAGAAUAGCUGGGUCAAAUGGUGAUUCCAUUCCAAAUUUUCAGAGGAAUCUCCUUACUGCUUUCCAAAGUGGAUACACCAAUUUGCAGUCCCACCAGCAAU